CUGACGAGUCCCACACAGAACGAAACAGCUGUC
rnacentral:hammerhead_ribozyme from 1 species